UACAGAGGUCUCAAGCGUUGUUCGGAUUCAUUGGGCGUAAAGGGUGCGUAGGCGGCGCGGUAAGUCGGAUGUGAAAUCUCGGAGCUUAACUUCGAAACUGCAUUCGAUACUGCCGUGCUUGAGGACUGGAGAGGAGACUGGAAUUCCUGGUGUAGCGGUGAAAUGCGCAGAUAUCAGGAGGAACACCGAUGGCGAAGGCAGGUCUCUGGGCCACUACUGACGCUGAGAAGCGAAAGCAUGGGGAGCGAACAGG
rnacentral:rRNA from 1 species